rnacentral:rRNA from 1 species
GAUGAACGCUGGCGGCGUGCCUAAUACAUGCAAGUCGAGCGAACGGACGAGAAGCUUGCUUCUCUGAUGUUAGCGGCGGACGGGUGAGUAACACGUGGAUAACCUACCUAUAAGACUGGGAUAACUUCGGGAAACCGUAGCUAAUACCGGAUAAUAUUUUGAACCGCAUGGUUCAAAAGUGAAAGACGGUCUUGCUGUCACUUAUAGAUGGAUCCGCGCUGCAUUAGCUAGUUGGUAAGGUAACGGCUUACCAAGGCAACGAUGCAUAGCCGACCUGAGAGGGUGAUCAGCCACACUGGAACUGAGACACGGUCCAGACUCCUACGGGAGGCAGCAGUAGGGAAUCUUCCGCAAUGGGCGAAAGCCUUACGGAGCAACGCCGCGUGAGUGAUGGAGGUCUUCGGAUCGUAAAACUCUGUUAUUAGGGAAGAACAUAUGUGUAAGUAACUGUGCACAUCUUGACGGUACCUAAUCAGAAAGCCACGGCUAACUACGUG